rnacentral:rRNA from 1 species
AGAGUUUGAUCCUGGCUCAGGAUGAACGCCGGCGGUGUGCCUAAUACAUGCAAGUCGAACGCGUUGGUCCAAUUGAUUGAUGGUGCUUGCACCUGAUUGAUUUUGGUCGCCAACGAGUGGCGGACGGGUGAGUAACACGUAGGUAACCUGCCCAGAAGCGGGGGACAACAUUUGGAAACAGAUGCUAAUACCGCAUAACAACGUUGUUCGCAUGAACAACGCUUAAAAGAUGGCUUCUCGCUAUCACUUCUGGAUGGACCUGCGGUGCAUUAGCUUGUUGGUGGGGUAACGGCCUACCAAGGCGAUGAUGCAUAGCCGAGUUGAGAGACUGAUCGGCCACAAUGGGACUGAGACACGGCCCAUACUCCUACGGGAGGCAGCAGUAGGGAAUCUUCCACAAUGGGCGCAAGCCUGAUGGAGCAACACCGCGUGAGUGAAGAAGGGUUUCGGCUCGUAAAGCUCUGUUGUUAAAGAAGAACACGUAUGAGAGUAACUGUUCAUACGUUGACGGUAUUUAACCAGAAAGUCACGGCUAACUACGUGCCAGCAGCCGCGGUAAUACGUAGGUGGCAAGCGUUAUCCGGAUUUAUUGGGCGUAAAGAGAGUGCAGGCGGUUUUCUAAGUCUGAUGUGAAAGCCUUCGGCUUAACCGGAGAAGUGCAUCGGAAACUGGAUAACUUGAGUGCAGAAGAGGGUAGUGGAACUCCAUGUGUAGCGGUGGAAUGCGUAGAUAUAUGGAAGAACACCAGUGGCGAAGGCGGCUACCUGGUCUGCAACUGACGCUGAGACUCGAAAGCAUGGGUAGCGAACAGGAUUAGAUACCCUGGUAGUCCAUGCCGUAAACGAUGAGUGCUAGGUGUUGGAGGGUUUCCGCCCUUCAGUGCCGGAGCUAACGCAUUAAGCACUCCGCCUGGGGAGUACGACCGCAAGGUUGAAACUCAAAGGAAUUGACGGGGGCCCGCAC